UGGUUAAGGGAGGUGGGCAAGGCAAACCUCCCCUUUCUUGGCAUCCAUCUUGAAGCCAAGCCUCUCUCACCUCCAAACAAGCUGCAAAAUCCAACAGCAGUUUUUUCUUUCUCACGCAGGCAAACUGCAAGUUGUUUGUGCUUUUUGCACCUGGCAGCUAAACUCAGGCUGCUAUUGAAGAGUCCCUUCCAAGAGCUCGUAAACCUUGUAGCCAAAACAUUCUCUGGUUUUGUUUCGCUUUCCCAGGCUUACACUCAGAGUCCAGCCCCUUGCCAGUAACUUUCCAGGACCGUUGCCUAGCAACAAUGCAUUUCAAUAAGACAUCUUAUCUACCACAAAAAUUUGUGGAAUGCAGGCUUCAGCCUACAAGCUGCAGGCCUCUUCCUCUCGGAGCUCUUGUUUUCUUUGAAACGCAGCUCCGUGAACCAGGGAAUUAAUCUUCCUGCGUUCACACUUUUAGCCCGAAAUGCAGCAUACCUUGAGCUCCGUUGCUUGGGAAAACACCUCUUCUUUCCACCAGCUGUCUGUGGAGCCUCUGGCUUCUUUCAGACGCUUCUCUUCCUCCUUGGAGCAGAGGAGGACAAUCCACCAGCCUCUCAUGCAGAUGUCCGAUGAAUCGCAACCAUCCGAAGGCUGCCACUGUUGGAAUUCUGCCUGGGUCAGAGGAAUGUGCCACAGCGUAGGCACCGGCAGAUAUUCCUGUCGACCUCCCCGCGUCUCCACUCUGCUGAUAAGCAGGCGAGGUCCGGCGAUUCUUCUCAGAUGUAUGAGAGGAACACACCGUUCUUCCUCUCUCCCCUUUGGUGUCCCCAGGGAGGGGAAAGAAGCAGACAGAAAACUAUUUACAUCAUUUAUUUCUGCCUCUUACAUCAGUACAGAGAAUCAUGUCUGCACUCAACAACAGCAAGAAGAAGACUCCUCCCAAGUACAUCCAGUACGGGUCAUAAGACACACACACACUGAGCUAACAUCCGGUGCUCAGUACAGAAUGGACUGCCCCUUUGUUCCCAUGGCAACAGUCACAAACAUCCUGUCUGGCUUUCCAGCCACAAGCAGCUGGCUGAGCUGCUAGAGCCUUUGCUUGCUGCAGCAUUGGUGCUUUAUGGUAACAUAUUCAACACCUACUUAAUAAGGCCAAAACUCUGUCAUAUGCGCUCCUCCGAUUUUUCUUUUCGGAUGGAGCUUUGCA
rnacentral:lncRNA from 1 species